rnacentral:rRNA from 1 species
ACGGCUCAGUAACACGUGGAGAACCUGCCCUGCGGAGGGGGACAACCUCGGGAAACUGAGGAUAAUCCCCCAUAGUCCUAGGAUGCUGGAAUGCCCCUAGGACGAAAGCUCCGGCGCCGCAGGAUGGCUCUGCGACCUAUCAGGUAGUAGUGGGGGUAACGGCCCCACUAGCCGACGACGGGUACGGGUAGUGAGAGCUAUCGCCCGGAGAUGGAGUCUGAGACACGACUCCAGGCCCUACGGGGCGCAGCAGGCGCGAAAACUGCACAAUGCGCGACAGCGCGAUGCGGGGAUCCCGAGUGCCAGCGCAAAGCGUUGGCUUUUCGAUUCUCUAAAAAAGAUUCGGAAUAAGGGGUGGGUAAGACGGGUGCCAGCCGCCGCGGUAAUACCCGCACCCCCAGUGGACGCCGAUCUUAUUGGGCCUAAAGGGUCCGUAGCCGGUUCUGUAAAUGCCCGGGUAAAUCGUCACGCCCAACGUGUCGAAUUCCGGGUAGACUGCAGAACUAGAGACCGGGAGAGGUAAGGGGUACUCCAGGGGUAGAGGUGAAAUUCUGUGAUCCCUGGGGGACCACCGGUGGCGAAAGCGCCUUACUUGAACGGUUCUGACGGUGAGGGACGAAGGCCAGGGGAGCAAACGGGAUUAGAUACCCCGGUAGUCCUGGCUGUAAACGCUGUGGGCUUGGUGUCGCGGGUCCUACGUGGGCACGCGGUGCCGUAGCGAAGGUGUUAAGCCCACCGCCUGGGGAGUACGACCGCAAGGUUGAAACUUAAAGGAAUUGGCGGGGGAGCAC